UGGGUAGGGGAGCGUUCUGUAAGCCUGUGAAGGUGGCCUGUGAGGGUUGCUGGAGGUAUCAGAAGUGCGAAUGCUGACAUAAGUAACGAUAAAGCGGGUGAAAAGCCCGCUCGCCGGAAGACCAAGGGUUCCUGUCCAACGUUAAUCGGGGCAGGGUGAGUCGACCCCUAAGGCGAGGCCGAAAGGCGUAGUCGAUGGGAAACGGGUUAAUAUUCCCGUACUUGGUGUUACUGCGAAGGGGGGACGGAGAAGGCUAUGUUGGCCGGGCGACGGUUGUCCCGGUUUAAGCGUGUAGGUGUGUGUUCCAGGUAAAUCCGGUUCACUUUAACACUGAGGCGUGACGACGAGGCACUACGGUGCUGAAGCAACAAAUGCCCUGCUUCCAGGAAAAGCCUCUAAGCAUCAGGUAACAUCAAAUCGUACCCCAAACCGACACAGGUGGUCAGGUAGAGAAUACCAAGGCGCUUGAGAGAACUCGGGUGAAGGAACUAGGCAAAAUGGUGCCGUAACUUCGGGAGAAGGCACGCUGACACGUAGGUGAAGUGAUUUACUCAUGGAGCUGAAGUCAGUCGAAGAUACCAGCUGGCUGCAACUGUUUAUUAAAAACACAGCACUGUGCAAACACGAAAGUGGACGUAUACGGUGUGACGCCUGCCCGGUGCCGGAAGGUUAAUUGAUGGGGUCAGCGCAAGCGAAGCUCCUGAUCGAAGCCCCGGUAAACGGCGGCCGUAACUAUAACGGUCCUAAGGUAGCGAAAUUCCUUGUCGGGUAAGUUCCGACCUGCACGAAUGGCGUAAUGAUGGCCAGGCUGUCUCCACCCGAGACUCAGUGAAAUUGAACUCGCUGUGAAGAUGCAGUGUACCCGCGGCAAGACGGAAAGACCCCGUGAACCUUUACUAUAGCUUGACACUGAACAUUGAGCCUUGAUGUGUAGGAUAGGUGGGAGGCUUUGAAGUGUGGACGCCAGUCUGCAUGGAGCCGACCUUGAAAUACCACCCUUUAAUGUUUGAUGUUCUAACGUGGACCCGUGAUCCGGGUUGCGGACAGUGUCUGGUGGGUAGUUUGACUGGGGCGGUCUCCUCCUAAAGAGUAACGGAGGAGCACGAAGGUUGGCUAAUCCUGGUCGGACAUCAGGAGGUUAGUGCAAUGGCAUAAGCCAGCUUGACUGCGAGCGUGACGGCGCGAGCAGGUGCGAAAGCAGGUCAUAGUGAUCCGGUGGUUCUGAAUGGAAGGGCCAUCGCUCAACGGAUAAAAGGUACUCCGGGGAUAACAGGCUGAUACCGCCCAAGAGUUCAUAUCGACGGCGGUGUUUGGCACCUCGAUGUCGGCUCAUCACAUCCUGGGGCUGAAGUAGGUCCCAAGGGUAUGGCUGUUCGCCAUUUAAAGUGGUACGCGAGCUGGGUUUAGAACGUCGUGAGACAGUUCGGUCCCUAUCUGCCGUGGGCGCUGGAGAACUGAGGGGGGCUGCUCCUAGUACGAGAGGACCGGAGUGGACGCAUCACUGGUGUUCGGGUUGUCAUGCCAAUGGCACUGCCCGGUAGCUAAAUGCGGAAGAGAUAAGUGCUGAAAGCAUCUAAGCACGAAACUUGCCCCGAGAUGAGUUCU
rnacentral:rRNA from 2 species